AAUGAACGCUGGCGGCAGGCCUAAAACAUGCAAGUCGAACGCCCUAGCAAUAGGGAGUGGCGCACGGGUGAGUAACAUGUGGGAAUAUGCCUUUUGGUACGGAACAACGUUUGGAAACGAACGCUAAUACCGUAUGGUCCCUCCGGGGUAAAGAUUUAUCGCCAAAAGAUUAGCCCGCACUGGAUUAGCUAGUUGGUAAGGUAAUGGCUUACCAAGGCGACGAUCUAUAGCUGUUCUGAGAGGAAGAUCAGCCACACUGGGACUGAGACACGGCCCAGACUCCUACGGGAGGCAGCAGUUAGGAAUAUUGGACAAUGGGCGCAAGCCUGAUCCAGCCAUGCCGCGUGAGUGAUGAAGGCCUUCGGGUUGUAAAGCUCUUUAGCCGACGAAUAUAAUGACUGUAGUCGGAGAAUAAGCCCCGGCUAACUUCGUGCCAGCCGCCGCCGUGAGAC
rnacentral:rRNA from 1 species